AAAAAUUUUUUAAUCAGGCCAAAAAAGAAAAUAUAAAUAAUUAAUAGAUAGAAAAGAAAAAACAUUUAUAAGGAUAGUAAACUAAUUAGAAAUCCACACCAAGACCAGGAAAAAAAGUACCGCGAGGGAAAAAUGAAAUAGAAUUAAAUAAAAAAUAGAGAAAAGUAGGAUUUAACUCCCCUACCUCGUGUAUAAUGGAUUAACAAGAAAUAGACAAAAAAAUGUCAGUCCCGAAACCAAGCGAGCUAAUCUUUUUUCUCUUUUAGAGAGAACAAGAUACUGUUGCAAUAGUAUCCCUAAAGAAAAGAAUAGUUGUGAAAUGCUAACCGCGCUAGGAUAUAGCUGGCUCUCCGAGAAAUUAGCCUAAGCUAAGACUUUCAUAAGAGUAGAACAAAAUUGAGUUCAUUAAAACAACCUCUAAGACCCUAUUAUAAAGGUCAGAGUAUUAAGGAUAAACUUGAUCCUCAAGAUGGAAAAAGCCAACUCUUUUAGUUAAGGCCACAAAGAAAUAAAAAUAGAUUAAUAAAAAAGAAUAGGCCUAGAAGCAGCCUUUUAACAAAAAAGCGUUAAAGCUUAAACAAAAUAAAAUCUAAAAAAUUUUUGAUCCUAAAACCAAAACUAAAGAAAACUAUCGGAACAUCCUUUUACAAAAAGGAAAGAAAAUGUUAAUAUGAGUAAGAUGAAUUUUCACCUGUAUAAUCUAUACGACACUAACCAUGGAAAGAGAAAUAAUGACAAUAAAAAAUAAAUUUCAAGAAACGUCUUCCAACGCAGGAGGAAAAAAAAAAAAAAAAAAAAAAAGGAACUCGGCAAAAGGUGCUUCGCCUGUUUACCAAAAACAUCGCCCCUUGUAGAAAGUAAAAUGAGGGGUCCUGCCUGCCCAGUGACUCAAGUUAAACGGCCGCGGUAUCUUGACCGUGCAAAGGUAGCAUAAUCACUUGUCUCCUAAAUAGAGACUGGUAUGAAUGGCAAGACGGAGCUAAACUGUCUCUUUUUUUACCCCCAAAAUUUACUCUCACGUGAAGAGGCGUGAAUAAAAUCGUUAGACGAGAAGACCCUGUCGAGCUUAAAGCAAAAAGCAAGGCUAAUUUCAGGAGUUUUAAACUACUAACUUACAAAUUUACAGCAAUAAAACUUUUAAGUUCUUGCAAAAGUUUUGGUUGGGGCAACCGCGGAAAAAGAAAAUCUUCCACUAAAAAGUUAAUUAAAACAAGGAAAACUAUCCUAUUAUCAAAAAUGAAUGAGCGAUCCACUUAGGUGAUCAAAGGAACAAGUUACCGCAGGGAUAACAGCGUUAUCUUUUUUGAGAGUUCACAUUGACAAAAAGGUUUGCGACCUCGAUGUUGGAUCGGGACAUCCUAAGGGUGCAGAAGCUCUUAAGGGUUGGUCUGUUCGACCAUUAAAGUCCUACGUGAUCUGAGUUCAGACCGGCGAAAGCCAGGUCAGUUUCUAUCUUCGUUAAGAUCUUUCUUAGUACGAAAGGACCAGAAAGAAAGUGUCCAUGCAACAAUACCUUUCUUGUAAACACUAUAAAUUAAAAAC
rnacentral:rRNA from 1 species